UGUCUCCACUGCCCCCUACUGUCUGUUAGCGGAAAACCAGCCUUGUAAGAUCAGGGCCGCAGAUCCAGAGUUAAGGCGAAACAAAACACUGUUAGAAAAAUCACUGCAUCACAAAUAAACAAUCCUAUUUUCCUCUCUGAGUUUCUCACCCCAAACGCAACCUUGGCGCCGCCUUCUCUCUCAACACACAAAGCGCCGUUACAUCACGAGAUUCCGUGGAGGCGGAAGUCCGUCUGCAGUGGAGGGUUUACGUGCAGCGGUGUGAGUGCGGGAGAAAGUGUGCGCUACAGGCUUGUACCGAAAAAAGGUUUGAAUUCGAAUCUCGCAGCGUGACCCGGAGCCCGUCCUCAGAAUCAGGAGGUCUCCCUUGAAACGUCCUGUAGCCAGGUACCGGCGACAGGAUCGAGACAGUGAAAGUGUUAUUUCAGACGUUCAUCGUGGCAGAGCGGGGCAGUCUGUUGACCAUAGGUGUCAGAUACUCCGGGGACGCUGGGACAUGUCCCCAGAACUAUUUAUGAUCAACAUCAACCCCGUCCCCCGGGUCCACCGACAACCCCCAAGAUAGGGGGGCGGCCAGUGAGCGGGAGAAGGCACAGCGAGUACAUAUGUCCGCGGCCCCGGGAAGCAGUGAGGUCCGGGAAGUUGGCCUGCCACCUUCGCCGGUUGUGGCGCACCACUGGUGGAGGUAAUGCGCCCGGCAGGGUCUGGCCGGUAGCUGGGGAGAGGUCCCGCGAGUGGAUCCUCCCACACAUUCUCAGUUUUUUUUUUUGUAUGUGUAUGUGUUAUUUUUCCUUUUCCCUAAUAGGAGUGUCAGAGCCACUCAAUACACUGUAAUGCAGUGCAUAUUGUAAAUAAACAUCAAACAGAUGAA